CACAGACAUGGAUAGAGAAGAGAAAAGGCGAAAGUUGCAGGAAAUUGUGUUGAAAAAUUUAUAUCCCUCCUGAAAAGAACAACCAAAUCCUUCAAAACAUCAUAAUCAAAUUCAUUUACAAAAGACUGAUUACAAGUAUGAGAUUGAAGAGCAAGUUUACCUCAAUAUGUCUAAUCAAGGACUCGAUGAUUUUGAGCCUGGGGAGAAGUCUGCAAGCGAUACUAAUGAUGAUACAAGUGGUUCAGCAUCCGAGAAGAAGUUAACAAGAUCUCAGAGGAAAAGACAUAGGAAGAAGAAGCUGAAGGAAACAGCUUCACGACCUAGAAAUAAAAUUAUCGGUCAAAUGAAACUGAUACCGUUUUAAGAGAUGCAAGGGUAUUGGAUUUGGAUGAUCCAAUUGACAAGCCAGGUUCUGGACAGAAGCGUAACACUUGGAAGAAACUAAAGCAAAGACGAGCAGCUAAGAAGCUUAAUCAAAGUACUAGUUUGGGUAGCUUGAAUGCGGAUACAUGUACGUAAUCAAGCACAUGACCGACCCUUGACGUGACAAUGGAAGUACAACCAAAACAAAGAUGUUG